UUGAUCCUGGCUCAGGAUGACGGCUGGCGGCGUGCUUAACACAUGCAAGUCGAACGAAGCGAUUUGACGGAAGUUUUCGGAUGGAAGUCAAAUUGACUGAGUGGCGGACGGGUGAGUAACGCGUGGGUAACCUGCCUCAUACAGGGGGAUAACAGUUAGAAAUGACUGCUAAUACCGCAUAAGCGCACGAAACCGCAUGGUUUUGUGUGAAAAACUCCGGUGGUAUGAGAUGGACCUGCGUCUGAUUAGCUAGUUGGUGGGGUAACGGCCUACCAAGGCGACGAUCAGUAGCCGACCUGAGAGGGUGACCGGCCACAUUGGGACUGAGACACGGCCCAAACUCCUACGGGAGGCAGCAGUGGGGAAUAUUGCACAAUGGGCGAAAGCCUGAUGCAGCGACGCCGCGUGAGCGAAGAAGUAUUUCGGUAUGUAAAGCUCUAUCAGCAGGGAAGAAAAAUGACGGUACCUGACUAAGAAGCACCGGCUAAAUACGUGCCAGCAGCCGCGGUAAUACGUAUGGUGCAAGCGUUAUCCGGAUUUACUGGGUGUAAAGGGAGCGCAGGCGGUUUAGCAAGUCUGAUGUGAAAGCCCGGGGCUCAACCCCGGUACUGCAUUGGAAACUGUUAAACUAGAGUGUCGGAGGGGUAAGUGGAAUUCCUAGUGUAGCGGUGAAAUGCGUAGAUAUUAGGAGGAACACCAGUGGCGAAGGCGGCUUACUGGACGAUUACUGACGCUGAGGCUCGAAAGCGUGGGGAGCAAACAGGAUUAGAUACCCUGGUAGUCCACGCCGUAAACGAUGA
rnacentral:rRNA from 1 species